UAGGGAAUCUUCCGCAAUGGACGCAAGUCUGACGGAGCAACGCCGCGUGAGUGAAGAAGGAUUUCGGUUCGUAAAACUCUGUUGUUAGAGAAGAACAGCGCAUAGAGUAACUGAUAUGCGUGUGACGGUAUCUAACCAGAAAGCCACGGCUAACUACGUGCCAGCAGCCGCGGUAAUACGUAGGUGGCAAGCGUUGUCCGGAUUUAUUGGGCGUAAAGCGAGCGCAGGCGGUCAAUUAAGUCUGAUGUGAAAGCCCCCGGCUCAACCGGGGAGGGUCAUUUGAAACUGGUUAACUUUAGUGCAGAAUGGGAGAGUGAAAUUCCAUGUGUAUCGGUGAAAUGCGUAGAUAUAUGGAGGAACACCGGUGGCGAAAGCGGCUCUCUGGUCUGUAACUGACGCUGAGGCUUGAAAGCGUGGGGAGCGAACAGG
rnacentral:rRNA from 1 species